rnacentral:tmRNA from 1 species
GGGGGCGAAACGGUUUCGACCGGACGACGGAAGGUGUUGGUGCAGGCGGAGGUUGUCAGGAGGCCUCCUUAAACACCUGGCAAAAGUUUGACUGCGAACAACAACUUCGCACUGGCUGCCUAAUUACGAUUUCGUAGCCCCUGCCCACGACUGCCUGCCCAGGGCGGUCGCCGGGGAGGCCAUAUGAGCUGGGCUGGUCGGACGGGACCGUGCCGUAGGUCCCCAUGACGAGAUUCAAAUCGGCGCCCGGGGUACGGAUCCUGUCCGUCGGAGCCGUCCCCGGUGCUACAGAUGACGGACUAAGCCUGUAGAGCCUGCGCUGGAAACGUUUCGGGACCCGGGUUCGACUCCCGGCGCCUCCACCA